rnacentral:rRNA from 1 species
UACGUAGGGGGCAAGCGUUGUCCGGAAUCAUUGGGCGUAAAGAGCGUGUAGGCGGCCCGAAAAGUCUGGUGUGAAAUCUUGGGGCUCAACCCCAAGCUGUCACUGGAUACUGUCGGGCUUGAGUCCGGAAGAGGAGAGUGGAAUUCCUGGUGUAGCGGUGGAAUGCGCAGAUAUCAGGAGGAACACCUAUGGCGAAGGCAGCUCUCUGGUACGUGACUGACGCUGAGACGCGAAAGCGUGGGUAGCAAACAGG